rnacentral:rRNA from 1 species
AUUGAACGCUGGCGGCAGGCCUAACACAUGCAAGUCGAACGGUAACAGGAAACAGCUUGCUGUUUCGCUGACGAGUGGCGGACGGGUGAGUAAUGUCUGGGAAACUGCCUGAUGGAGGGGGAUAACUACUGGAAACGGUAGCUAAUACCGCAUAACGUCGCAAGACCAAAGAGGGGGACCUUCGGGCCUCUUGCCAUCGGCUGUGCCCAGAUGGGAUUAGCUAGUAGGUGGGGUAACGGCUCACCUAGGCGACGAUCCCUAGCUGGUCUGAGAGGAUGACCAGCCACACUGGAACUGAGACACGGUCCAGACUCCUACGGGAGGCAGCAGUGGGGAAUAUUGCACAAUGGGCGCAAGCCUGAUGCAGCCAUGCCGCGUGUAUGAAGAAGGCCUUCGGGUUGUAAAGUACCUUCAGCGGGGAGGAAGGGAGUAAAGUUAAUACCUUUGCUCAUUGACGUUACCCGCAGAAGAAGCACCGGCUAACUCCGUG